CAGUUCAUGCUUAAUCCUCAAAGUGAAGUGUCGUCUCAUUAUUGGGGGAGGAUUUACUGUAUGCUGUUAGAGACUGAUUGCCAGGAGUGUAAGCCGCUUGGGGGCUUUUCCUGUUCGUCUGCUAGCAGCUAUUCGUGUGUCUCCAGUUCAGGAGUUUCGAGUAUUCCCUUGGUAUGUAGUUCGGGAGUUUCGAGUAUUCCCUUGGUUGCAGUUUGGGAGUUGGU
rnacentral:lncRNA from 1 species